GCUCGAGGGGGCGGCGCGGGGUUCGCGGAGGGGCCCCAAGGACGCGCCGCCGGCUUCGCCACGCCGAGCGCCCGGCCCGGACCCUGUUCCCUAAAGAUCAGGACGGAUGGGGAAAAGCGCCCUUCUUAGGUGAAAGCAUCAGCUCGUUUCUACGUGUCAGCACUGGGAGAAGAUGUGGGGUCAGUGUCUUCACCAGGGAGCUGGUGCGAGGAUCAGCCCGUGAGAUGACAGACUCGGCGCCCUGCCAGAUGCUGUAAAGCGUGGAACUGUGUCAUCGAUGGUUAAGGAGAAAACAGGGUUUUGCAAAGGCACAACUAGAAGGAUGAAGGUGGCUGAAUAUUUGUCUUCUGAGUGAUACGGACUUUCCUUGAAGAAUGGCGCAUUUACGAGUGUCAGCCUGCCACCCGUUACUGCGAUUAGGUUCUUCAGCAACCGAGGAGGAAUGAGGAGGACUCAGACGGAUUUCGAAGAAUGGCAUGACUAAUGUACAAACAAGAGUGAAAGGGAGUGUUGGAAAAACUCAGGGACACUGAAGACUGAAGUGGGUUGAAAACAAAUCAGAACGUGAGUUCUCCCACUUGAGUGCGAGCAGAAUUUGUUUUUCAGAAGUAAUUUUUAAGGAUUCACUUGGAGAAGGAAGAGGGAUUUUCCUUUACGCUUUUGGAUCGGAUGGCUCUGUGUUGCGAACGGUUUUCUCGCGGCCUUCAAGAAUUUGUUUGGUACCCACUUGUUCAAAACCCAAGGGCAAACAGCCAAGUCCCCUUAAAGCUGUCCGCCCGGGACUACGGGAGUCAGUUUGAAACGUCUUCGUUUUAAGAAGGUGGCAGAAUUACAUAAUUAUUCACAGCUCAUAAGAAAUUAAAAUACCUCUUCCAAAUAUGAAGUCGCGAGAUAACACAAACCACAAGUCCUAGACUCUCGGAGGGCGUGUGCCUCGUUUGUGCUCCCACACACAAACCCACAGCCGACCGUCUGCGCUGAGAGCACGUGGCCCCACUGAGAGCACGUGGCCACGCUGACCUCGCUUCCCUCGUGUUCCUCCGCACACAGCAGGGCUCUUGCCCAGGGCCUCCCUUGGCGACGCCGAGGGACCGAAGAUGCCAAAUGCUGGAGAGGCGGGAGGUCACCACAAGGCACCUGGGACCACAGACGCACUCUCUUCCACUCAUGGCCAGGGUGCACGAGGAAUUUGACCCCUCCAGGGACUUCGUAUCAGUGGAAUCCUAAGAUGUCCUUUUGUGUCUGGCUUAUUUCAGCGAGUAUGGUGUCUUCAAGGGCUGCGCCUGUGGCAUAUGGAAGUUCCAUAUGCUUAGGGAUCGAAUUGGAGCUGCACCUGCUGGCCUACACUACAGCUGCAGCAAUGUGGGACCUGAGCAGCAUCUGUGACCUAUAGCAUAGCUCAUGGCAACACCAGAUCCUUAACCCAUUGAUUGAGGCCAGGGAUCAAAUCUCCAUCCUCAUGGAUACUAAUUGGGUUCUCAACCCACUGAGCCACAGUGUUUUUGAGCAUAUCUCUGUAUAACUUUCUGGUGGUUGAUCUAGGUUAUAUACGUAACUUACAGUCUAUUGAGGUCAUUGUUUUACUAUUUCAGAUGAAGUUUAGAAAACUUACCUCUUUCUAUAUCUCUUUACUCUUAUUUGUAAUAUAAUCGUCUUAAAUAUUUCUUCUACAUUCACUGAAAACUACAUCAAAUGGUAUUAAAAUUUUUGCUUCAACUGUCAAACAUAAUUUGGAAAACUCAAGAAGAGAAGAAAAGUCUAUCAUAUUUACUUAUAUUUCUUUGUCUUUUGGUUGCUUCUUCCUUCCUUGCUGAUGUUCCAGGAUUCUGUUAUUUUAAUCAUUUCCUUUAUGCUUAGAAAAUUUCUUUUCCCCAUUGUUUGGAGUAGGUCGUUGGUGACAAAUUCUUAGUUUUUUUUUUUUUUUUUUAAAUCAUCUCUGGAUGCUAAAAUGUCUGCUUAAUUUCUGAAGGAUAUUUUCUCUAUAUAGAAAUCUGUAUUGAUAAUUUUUUUCCCUCAGUCCUUGGAAAAAUCUCCACCAUUCCUUCUGGUCUCCACAGUUUCUCAUGAGAAACUCACUUUCCUUUUGGUUGUAUUUUCUCCCGUAAGAUGUUCUUUCUCACAGCUUUCAACGUAUGUGUUUUUGUCUUUAGUGUUCAGGUGAUUAUGACAUGUCAAAGGCAUGGAUUUGCUUGAGUUUUUAUCUCUUUGGGGUUCACUUAGUUCUCAAAUAUUUAGGUUUAUGGUGGGUUUUUUUUGUGCUGGCUUUGGGAAUUUUACAAUUUUUGUGCCAACUUUGUUAAUUAUUUCUUCAAAUAAUGUUUUCAGCCCCACACCAUUUCCCCUUUCCUUUCCUUCCAGGAUUCCAGUGACAUGAACAUUUCACUUCUUAUUCGCACGAGUCCCCGAAACUCUCUUCAUUUUUAAAGACUGCUUUCUCUCUAUUCCUCCGAUUUCAAGCUCAGGGACCCUUCUUUCUAUCUCCCCAUUUUGCUGUUGAAGACGUCCACUAGCAUUUUUAUUCUGGCUAUUGUAUUUUCUCAUGCCAUCGUUUUCGUUUGGACUUAUUUUCUAUCUUCCAUUUCUUUGCUGAGCUUUUCUAUUCCUUUGCUAAAACUUUCUACUUCUCAUUUAUUGCGAGCACACUUGUCUAUCUAUUUACCUUUCCAACUGAGUUUUAUACUUUCAUGUGUUUUCAUGUAACCAGUUAACAUCCUCUCAUUUCAACUUGAAGAAUUCUCUUUGGCCUUUCUUACAAGGCAGGUCUAGGUGAUGAACUCCUGAAGUUUUUGCUUGUCUGGGAAAGUCUUUAGUUUUCCUUUAUUUCUGAAGGAUAGUUUCGCCAAAUACAGUAUUCUUGAUUGGCAGCUUUUCUUUCAUUUGUUAAUAUAUCACCCCACUCUUUUCUGGCCUGCAAGGUUUCUGUUGAGAAAUCUACUAAUAGUCUCGGUGGGGGGGCGGGCCUUGUAUGUGAUGAGUCACUUUCCUCUUGUUGUUUUCAAAAUUCAGGCUUGGAAGGGGGGGAAGAGGGGAGUUGUUGCUCAAUUGGUGUAAAGUUUCAGUUUUGCAAGAUGAAUUAGUUCAGGAUAUCUACUGUACAGAAUAAUGCCUGUAAUGGGCAAUAACUUACCGUGGCCUUAAAAUUUGCUGAGAGGGUAAAUUUCAGGUUAAGAGUUCUUAACACACACACAGAGGCACAAGGCUACUUCUGAAGGUGAUGGAUAUAUUACCUUGAUUCUGGUAAUGGUUUCACAGGUGUAUGCAUACAUCCAAAUUCAUCAGAUUAUAUGAUGAAUGUGGGAAGCUUCUUGUGUAUCAAUAUCCCUCAAUAAGGCUGUUUAAAAACAAAAAUAAAAGUAUGAAAAAGU
rnacentral:lncRNA from 1 species